rnacentral:lncRNA from 1 species
AUUUCCAAUGAAGUUCAUUAAACUUAAGUUAUUGGCAAAUUUCCAAUCUACAUAAUUUAAAAGCAGUUUAGGUGAGAUUUUCAAAUGAGUUUCAAUUAUCUACCUUACACUGCUUUUAAGUAAUUGUCCAUUAACCUGGAAACCCUUUUCCCCCCUUUUUUGCACCUUAUUCCUUAACCGUUUGAACCAUAACUUCCAAAGACAAUUCUUACCAUCCCUUUUUGGUAUUCCAAUAUUCUAAAUCUAAAUACAUGGUUAGAUUCAGCAUAUCAAAGAAACCCAAGAAUUCAAUUCUUGAUGGUAUCAAAUAAAGUUCAAUUUUGGACCUUUUAGACCUUACUGUGGACCAAUUUGAUUACCGGGCCUAAUAUCAUAAAUCUAGAUACAUGGUUAGAUUCAGCAUAUCGAAAAACCCUUUUUUUUGGUCCCUAAUUCCUAAACCGUUUGGACUAAAACUCCGAAAACCAAUCACAACCUUCCUUUUGUGGUCAAAGACCUUAUGUUAAAAUUUCAUAUUUUGUUUUACUUUUAUACUAAAGUUAUUGUGCGAAAGCCAAGAAAAAUGUUUAUUUGGGCCCUUUUUUGCCCCUAAUUCCUAAACUGUAGGGAAUCAAAACACCCAAAAUCAAUCCC